CGCCCACCUCCUUGUUUAGCAGUUGGUAUGUUCCUACUGCAGAACUACUGCGGUGACGGUGAGUUUUGUAACAUGUCAAAACAUCCCAAGUUAUCAGGUGCAAAGGAAUAAAAAGAAAUAAAAGAGGGAACACGUGACAAAAACAGAGAUGUGUUACUGAGGUAUUUAAAUCCCACCUCUGGACCUUUUGCAACACCAUCAACACCUGUUGCCACCUCGCAGGAGCUUAUUCAUCAGAAAUGAAGGCUACACCAACAAACAGGUGAACUGAUCAGGCAUACAGCCAAGCAGUGCCAAGAGAAAUAAAUGGUGUUGCUGGACUGAUUGCUUUGCAAACAGCAACCAAUAGCAGUAAAGUGCAUGACAUGUGAACUCAGCAGAAUAAGAGGAUGUGUGUACGGAUGACAGAGCUAUGACCUUGGCAGUGUGCUAAUGAAAGACUUGAUCACAUAUAACCUUUGAUCACAAAAGAGGCUGUUGUAACAGUACAGAGGGGAAAUCCAGUGAAGCUUACACAUCAGCACAUAUGAUAAAUUAAUCGGUUUUCAUUUAGCUGGGUUAUGAUGGGAUUUCCCCAAUUCUUGACUUCUAUGGACGGAGUUACCCACCAGGACAUCCGAUGCCUACUGGCACGUGAAGAACGAUGUGCUCUUCAUAAUCUCACAGUGAAAGAAUUAUUCCUGCACUGCUGGUCUUUGGAUUAAGCUUAGUUUCUGAGUUAGACAUUACACAAGGGACUCUGACAACAUCUUGCAAAAGUGUUCAUAUAAUAUUAACUUUUUUGUAUCUUAUAAAGUUCCUGUAUGUGAUAUACCAACACAAAUGAGUGCAAAAAGUAGAAGUAGAAGUA